UCUUCCACGCGGUGAAUUCUUCGGGAGAAGUUCAAGAAAAAAAUCUGCACCAACAUACUGUACUUUGAAAGGCGUAGCCUCACACACGAGGAUGGGUGCUGCAGAAAUGACGGAGGCUAAAGCACUUCGCUUGGGUCAUUCGCGUUUUCCAACCGGGUUAACUUGACGUCACUGGAUGGCUCUACUCAGUAAGUAUAAACCAAAUCAGCAGAGCAGGCCAGAUGACCCAUGGUUUUUAAACCAGAUCCCCCUGCUCAACCUCUAGGCUUUAGCUCAGAGGGCUAACAAGGCUAAGUUUCUGCAUGAAGGCCCCCGACUUUGUUGUCAUGACAGCUGCAGCACCACUGGAUGGUUGAGGGACAAAAUGGCUGACUUUUCCUGGUACUUCUAAGAUGAAAGCUGACAUGUGAAGGAAAUCCUUCUGUCUCCUUGGUAACGACAUGAAGUGGAUUGUGAGCUGCGUGGAUUCUUAACCAUCUUGACACUGGGUUGGUCCACUGGGGAGAUGAGUCCUGGUUGCCUUUGGAGAAAGAAGGGUGUUCAUGUGAAGGUUAAGCUACCAGCAGACAGUGCUGAUGGUGGAUUUUGUAUAUUCUCCCUUGUUUUUGGAUAGACCAUUUGAGGCCCUGUGCUUCCAAACAGCCUUUUCCAACAGAUGUUAUAAAAAUAAAUUGUUCUUGAAUUCAGUUUCAAAGGUUUUUGUAAUUGCCUCAUGACUUAAAAUGACAAUUG